AUUGUCAACAAAGGGACGAGAGACGCGCAACUCCGCUCCGCACUGUGCGCCAGCAUCCCCGGGGCACGGAGGGCGCUGCGGCCCGCCCGGAGACCCCCCCACCCAGGCUGGAUCCGGGCCCUGGGGCCCAGGGAGCGGGUGGGUGUGUGGACAAAUCCUCCAAGAUUUAACUUCCAAGAAAACCGGCGGCGGAGCGGGUGGAGGAGGCGAGGAUGUGUGGCCAAUGCACGCGGAGUGCAAGGCCGCCUAGUUGGGAGCCGCAAGAGCCUGCCUGGUGUGGCAGGCACACGGAACCCAAUCCCUGUCUGUCCGCUGCGGCCUGGGAGGGGAGCGCCGGCCUCACCAGAGGAAGGAGCACGAGGGGAGGAGUUCCGAGAGGAAAUAAUUAGUGAAAUAUUUGCAGAAGAUGCUGGGAUGUGGAUUUAAUUCCGGAUGGACAGUGGUGCUUCUGAUUCCCUCAGUCUGUUUCCCCACCCACGAUCUCCUCUUUCCUUGGCCUAGACACACCAAAAAUAAUUCAAUAAAAUAAAAAUAAAAAUUUAAAAA
rnacentral:lncRNA from 1 species